CAAGAGUAAAACUCCAUCUCAAUAAAUAAAUAAAUAAGCAAAAGAAACAGGGAAUCUUCUAAUUCUUCUGUCAGCACCUGUAUCGGCCAUGGAUAAAGCUGCUGGAGUUUACCUUGAUGUGUCCAGCCCUGCAGGGAGUUGAAGGCUAUUUCCCAGGGAGCUGACCAUUGGGAAGGAAAACACACCAGAUGCAAACCCCCUCCAUUCAAUGGAGUAAGGGUCAUUGUGGAAGCAGACAAAGGACUUUGCAACAAGGGAAGAAGUGAUUUCAGGCACCCAGGGAGGACUCCAAGAGAGGAGAAAUGUGAGCUGAAAGCAAGUUUGGAGCCUUUAGCUUAAAAUGAUUGCCUGUCCUAGCUGGGAUUGGAGAAUUGAGAGAAAGGCAUGUGACCCUCCUGGGACGCAGAGGUAAGUACAAGGAGAGCAGCAGCCCAAAGAAGCCCCUGGAGCUAGGGCUGGAGGGGAGCCGAGAAGCAAGUAUCUGCCAUGGGCUGGAUAGCCAAGGUGAAGAGCCUGCCCAGGAUCCAUACGACAAAAUGGAAAGAUUCUUUGGUGCUCCCAAGAGGUCCUGAGAAUGAAUCUUGCUAGUCUGGGUAAGUAGGGGCUCUGGUUGCUGGAUUUUUGGAUAUCAAUGUUAAUAACAUUUUUAGUAGCUGCAAUGAACUGAAUGUGUUCCCCAAAAAUUCAGAUUGAAAUUCUAAUCCCUAAUGUGAUGGUAUAAGGAGGUUGGAACUUUUUCUUUUUUCCCUUUUUUUUUUUUUUUGAGAUGGAG